rnacentral:rRNA from 1 species
UACGGAGGUGGCAAGCGUUGCUCGGAAUCACUGGGCGUAAAGGGCGCGUAGGCGGCUUAUCAAGUCGGGGGUGAAAGCCCGUGGCUCAACCACGGAAUGGCCUUCGAUACUGGUAGGCUUGAGACCGGAAGAGGACAGCGGAACUGCGAGUGUAGAGGUGAAAUUCGUAGAUAUUCGCAAGAACACCAGUGGCGAAGGCGGCUGUCUGGUCCGGUUCUGACGCUGAGGCGCGAAAGCGUGGGGAGCAAACAGG